CAGUCGCCGCGGUAAUACCGAGGGUGCAAGCGUUAAUCGGAAUUACUGGGCGUAAAGCGCGCGUAGGUGGUUUGUUAAGUUGGAUGUGAAAUCCCCGGGCUCAACCUGGGAACUGCAUCCAAAACUGGCAAGCUAGAGUAUGGUAGAGGGUGGUGGAAUUUCCUGUGUAGCGGUGAAAUGCGUAGAUAUAGGAAGGAACACCAGUGGCGAAGGCGACCACCUGGACUGAUACUGACACUGAGGUGCGAAAGCGUGGGGAGCAAACAGGAUUAGAUACCCCGGUAGUCCCUGUCUCUUAUAC
rnacentral:rRNA from 1 species